rnacentral:rRNA from 1 species
UACGGAGGAUCCAAGCGUUAUCCGGAUUUAUUGGGUUUAAAGGGUGCGUAGGCGGCCUAUUAAGUCAGGGGUGAAAGACGGUAGCUUAACUAUCGCAGUGCCCUUGAUACUGAUGGGCUUGAAUAUACUAGAGGUAGGCGGAAUGUGACAAGUAGCGGUGAAAUGCAUAGAUAUGUCACAGAACACCAAUUGCGAAGGCAGCUUACUAUGGUAUUAUUGGCGCUGAGGCACGAAAGCGUGGGGAUCAAACAGG